UCACGAGCAGGCUUUGUUUGUAGGUGGGGUUGCCCUGCGCACUUCGCUGGUGACACCGUCUGCGUCUUUGCCUGUCGUCUGCUACGGAAUACCUUGUGGCUCAGCAGCAGGAUAUUCUCCACGGUAGCAGUGCACGAAGAGACGUAAAGGGCAGCAGGAAGCGUCUUUCGCGUCUUCCGCUGGGGUGUUCUGGAAAACGCCGUUCGUGCCGAUACACGCGGUAAAUAGGUGCCCUCGGCGACACAGCUAGCAGACCCUACGUCACGCGAUCGAUUCAUAAAGGGCCGACACUCCUGGGCACAACGGCACAUCCUGCUGUCAAGUGCUGCAUUAGACACAGGAAGUGGUUAUCAAUGAAAGCACUCUCCUUCACGCAAGCACGUCUGACCUGUCCGACAGUUGCAACAGACUUUUGCAUAUCAUCCAGCAAUUUGGCCUCCUAUUAACAAAUGGAGAAAGCCUCACGAAAAAAAGAUCUGCACAAAAACAACCCAAGACGCACAACUGCCACUGAAUAUGCAAUCUAUCAGCAUCCAGUGGUGGGAUCGGAGAUAGGUGAUCUGCUUCGACCGAUAUGACGGGCACCGGUGCCGCAUUUAGCCGAGCUUCCCGCGCUGCACUGCAUGCGGUCUUAUUGCCACUGAUGCUAACAUGACCACCAAUCCGUUGUAAGGCGAUGCGGUGUAUCCUAUCUGGUAUAUCCACCCAACAUCUAUACGCCCAGAGGAGGUCUCACACGGUUGGUGCAGGAGAUCGAUGUGAUGUCCAAGUGAGAAGAAAGAAGAUAAUUCUGGCAACGGGGCAAUGCUCGAGAAGAUAAUGUCAGUUUGAAAUUGGACGGCGAGUGAAGUGGUUAGCCUCUGAGGUACGGGCGAGUAUCACCACAAUCGUCAAAUCAGGGAACUUGAUAGU